rnacentral:rRNA from 1 species
UACGGGGGGGGCAAGCGUUGUUCGGAAUUACUGGGCGUAAAGGGCUCGUAGGCGGCCAACUAAGUCGGAUGUGAAAUCCCCAGGCUUAACCUGGGAACUGCAUCCGAUACUGGAUGGCUUGAAUCCGGGAGAGGGAUGCAGAAUUCCAGGUGUAGCGGUGAAAUGCGUAGAUAUCUGGAGGAACACCGGUGGCGAAGGCGGUGGUCUGGGCCGGAACUGACGCUGAGGAGCGAAAGCGUGGGGAGCGAACAGG